AUGCUGGAUCUUUUGCAACGCCUCGGCUUUCCUCAAAGAUGGCGGGCCCUCCUGACGACUCUCUUCACCACGGCCUCCUCUAGGGUUUUGCUCAACGGAAUCCCUGGGAGGGACAUCAUGCAUGGACGGGGUUUUCUUCAGGGUGAUCCCCUCUCGCCCCUCCUGUUCGACAUCGCCACCGACCCACUUCAGAGAAUUCUGGAAAAGGCUACGGAAUCCGGCUUGCUGUCUGCUAUG
rnacentral:rRNA from 1 species